rnacentral:rRNA from 1 species
UACGAAGGGGGCUAGCGUUGUUCGGAUUUACUGGGCGUAAAGCGCACGUAGGCGGAUUGCUAAGUCAGGGGUGAAAUCCUGGAGCUCAACUCCAGAACUGCCUUUGAUACUGGCGAUCUUGAGUCCGGGAGAGGUGAGUGGAACUGCGAGUGUAGAGGUGAAAUUCGUAGAUAUUCGCAAGAACACCAGUGGCGAAGGCGGCUCACUGGCCCGGUACUGACGCUGAGGUGCGAAAGCGUGGGGAGCAAACAGGG